CAGUUUUAUUAUAUCAUCAAGGCAUUGCGCCAUGCAGACAGUGCGCGGCUGCGCGCAUUGACGGAUGGAUUUCAGACGAUGCAUUUUUUUUAUUCUCUGGAAGACUACUUGGUAAGCAUGUCACAAUACAUAACAUUCUAUCUUUAUUACAAAUGUUUAACGUUAACCCUUUGGGUUUUACGAUUAAUCCUCAAUGUUGUUCUUAAUUUCAUCAAUAUGUCACAUAUGAUUUACAGACACAAUGAGCGAGCCUCUACACAGGAUUUCGUAUAAACGGUAUCUAACUGAUGCUGAAGAGGAAAUUCCUCCAAGAACCAUACGAAGAUGGGCCCUAAAAAAAAGAAUUAAGGUAGCAGAAGACCUUGAGAAUGUUAUCAAGGAAUGUCAUAAGCCAUUCCCAGACACCAUCCCAGAAGACAUCCAGCUAACUACUCCUGAUGAAGAGUGCACUUCCAGUCCUGUUCAGAUAGAGGAUCCAGCGGAUUCAGGUCAAACAAAAGAUCAAACCCAACUACUACUUCUGGCACUUAAGCUCAAACACAGUUUGACCAAUGACUGUCUUGAGGAUAUUAUGAGAAUCCUAAAUGUUGUUGGUGGUAAUGAUUCGGUAUGCAGGACAAAAUACUCCUUUUACAAAGCUUUCGAUUAUACCAAAGACAUUAUGAGAAUCUGUUAUUUGUGUGACCAGUGCAAUGACAUAAUGUCAGCUGAAAUGGACCAUGUUCAUUGUGUUCAAUGCAACAUUACUCAUGACAAAGCCAGCAGGUUCACCAAUAAUUUUUUCAUAUACCUCUCCUUGGAAGAUCAGAUAAAAAAUCUUUUGAAAAUUCCAGGAAUUGCAGACGAAUUGGUAAAAAGGCAAAAAGAAACAUCAACAUCUCUCAGUGAUAUUUGUGAUGGUUUUUUGUAUCAGAAAGCUUUAAGUGGUUCAGAUACGCCCCUUUCAACCCUUACCUUGACAUUUAGCUGUGAUGGUGUGCCAGUUUUUAAAAAGUCCCCUUGUAGUAUUUGGCCUCUUUUAUGUACCAUUAAUGAGUUGCCGUUGAAAAUGAGACAGGAUAAUGUACUCCUUUGUGGACUGUGGUUUGGGGAUAAGAAGCCUCAUAUGAGAACAUUCUUAAAUCCUUUUGUAGAGGAAUGUGUAAAACUAGAGGACAGUGGUUUCACAUGGGAAAAGGACAAAGGUGUUUCUAUCAAUACAAAAGUAAUCCCUCUAGUUCUGAUGAGUGACUCAGUUGCCAGACCUUUAAUACAGAAUGUCAAACAGUUCAAUGGUGAAUAUGGCUGCUCCUAUUGCCUUCACAAAGGAAAAUGGAUUGAAAAGGGCAGAGGAUCUACUCGUGUAUAUCCUUUUCAGAAAGACCUCCAGCUUCGCAGUCAGGAACAGACAAAUGAAUUUGUAGAAGCUGCGUUAGAGUCUGGACAGCCUGUUAUGGGUGUCAAAGGACCAAGUGCAUUGUGUCGCCUUCCCAGUUUUGAUGUCAUUGAAGGGUCUGUGCCAGACUACAUGCAUUCAGUACUUCUGGGUGUUGCAAGAACUGUAACAGGGCUGUGGUUAAACAGUGAAAACCAUGAAAAGCACUGGUAUAUAGGUAGGUCUACAAAAUUGAUAGACGAGUUGCUUUUAAAGAUUAAACCACCAUGUAAUGUACCUCGUGUGCCAAGGUCAGUCACAUUGAGGAAAUUCUGGAAAGCCCACGAGUGGUACAUGUGGCUCUUUUAUUAUAGCUUGCCUGUACUAAAAGGUGUCUUGCCAGAACCACUACUGAAUCACUGGUCCAAACUAGUUAAGGGUGUAUCACUUCUGUUGGGUGAAAAUAUAACCAGAGACCAGAUUACUGAGUCUGAGGCACUUUUAACAGAUUUUGUGAAGGACAUGGAGGUAUACUAUGGGGAAGCCAAUAUGUCUUAUAAUGUCCAUCUUUGCCUCCAUUUACCAAGAAGUGUAGUUAACUGGGGGCCUUUGUGGGCUCACUCUGCCUUUGUAUUUGAGUCUUAUAAUGCUAAACUACUUGACAUGAUCAAAAGCACUCAAGGUGUUGCACUGCAGAUUGUCAAAACCUUUUGGUUACAAAAGGCUUUACCUUUUUAUGGUCAGACUAUCCUUAAACAUGCCUCAAAUGAAUGCAAGGAGAUCUUUGAAACUCUGACAAGACCAAAACAGUUGAAACAUGUAACCCGCACAUGUGAUGUCACUGCACUCGAUCGUCCUAAAGUGCGAUUACUUAGGAGAGAUGACUGUAUGGCACUGAGUCGUUAUGGGAUACAAAAAGGCAGGGUAAAGUACUUUCAACGAAUCAUUACAAAUGGCGAGGUGGUUCACUCAGAAGAUUACAGCCGUGUAUCUAAAACGCAAUUCCUUCACUGUUGUGUUGAAUGACGAAGCUCAAAACUUUUUUUAGGAUUAA
ensembl:lncRNA